rnacentral:rRNA from 1 species
CCUACGGGAGGCAGCAGUGAGGAAUAUUGGUCAAUGGACGCAAGUCUGAACCAGCCAUGCCGCGUGCAGGAAGACGGCUCUAUGAGUUGUAAACUGCUUUUGUACGAGGGUAAACGCAGAUACGCGUAUCUGUCUGAAAGUAUCGUACGAAUAAGGAUCGGCUAACUCCGUGCCAGCAGCCGCGGGAAUACGGAGGAUUCAAGCGUUAUCCGGAUUUAUUGGGUUUAAAGGGUGCGUAGGCGGUCGGAUAAGUUAGAGGUGAAAUCCCGAGGCUCAACUUCGGAAUUGCCUCUGAUACUGUCCGGCUAGAGAGUAGUUGCGGUAGGCGGAAUAUAUGGUGUAGCGGUGAAAUGCUUAGAGAUCAUACAGAACACCGAUUGCGAAGGCAGCUUACCAAGCUACUUCUGACGUUGAGGCACGAAAGCGUGGGGAGCAAACAGGAUUAGAUACCCCGAUAGUC